GGCUACCUAAUAGUGUGGGCUACUAUACCUGGCUACCUAAUAGUGUGGGCUACUAUACCUGGCUACCUAAUAGUGUGGGCUACUAUACCUGGCUACCUAAUAGUGUGGGCUACUAUACCUGG